GAGAAUAUCCCAGAGGAGAGGGGCUCCUGCUCCGGCUUGGGAGAUCUUGAAUUAGAGGAGAGGGACGGGGGUGCUGAUAUUGCUUUGAAGGAGGUCGACGAGCCUUCUGUGGACGUGGGGCUUCCCUCUCCGAUGAAGGUAAACCUGGAACAGGCAGUAGAAGGCAGCGGAAUAUCAGAGCCUGACCUCGAUGGAGGCGGUCAAACUGAGGAGAGGAGACCUGUCUCACCGAGGGAAGGCCUGGAAAAGUUCGAGCAAGGCAGGAGAGGAUCAGAGAUUAUUGCUGCAGGAGAUGGCGGAAUUGAUGGUCGCCUUGACUUACACAGCGAGGAUUCGGAACUUCUGGUGUCGGAGGAUGAGGAUGAGGAUGAGGAUGAGG
rnacentral:lncRNA from 1 species